GAUGAACGCUAGCGAUAGGCUUAACACAUGCAAGUCGAGGGACCGGCGCACGGGUGCGUAACGCGUAUGCAACUUGCCUCCCAGAGUGGGAUAACCCGUCGAAAGACGUACUAAUACCUCGUACUGUGAGAUAGCCAUGCGUCACAUUAGCUAGUUGGUGAGGGAACGGCUCACCAAGGCAACGAUGGGUAGGGGAACUGAGAGGUUGAACCACCACAAUUGUACGGAGACACGGACCAGACUCCGACGGGAGGCAGCAGUGAGGAAUACUGGUCAAUGGGCGAGAGCCUGAACCAGCCAAGUCGCGUGAAGGAUGACUGUCUAUGGAUUGUAAACUGCUUUUGUAGGGGAAUAUGUACCCUACGAAUAAGCAUCGGCUAACUCCGUGCCAGCAGCCGCGGUAAUUC
rnacentral:rRNA from 1 species